rnacentral:tRNA from 1 species
GCGCCCGUAGCUCAGUGGAUUAGAGCGUUGGCCUCCGGAGCCAAAGGUCGAAGGUUCAAGUCCUUCCGGGCGUACCA